ACCAGGUAUGGUGAAGCACACCUGUAAUCCCAUCUACUCAGGAGGCUUAGACAGGAGGAUCACAAGUUCAAGGUCAGCCUCAGCACUUAGUGAGACCCUGUCUCAA
rnacentral:sRNA from 1 species